UAUCUCUGUAGAGUCUGCAUAUCAAUAAGCGGAGGAAAAGAAACUAACUAGGAUUCCCUUAGUAACGGCGAGUGAAGCGGGAAGAGCUCAAAUUUGAAAUCUUCAAGGUUUUACCUUGACGAAUUGUAGUUUAAAGAAGUGUUUUCUGUUGGAUGUUUUGGUAAAAGUUCUUUGGAAUAGGACAUCAUAGAGGGUGAGAAUCACGUAUUUGACCAUUAUUUCCAGCUUUGUGAUACACUUUCAAAGAGUCGGAUUGUUUGGGAAUGCAGUCCAAAAUGGGUGGUAAAUUUCAUCUAAAGCUAAAUAUUAGGCGAGAGACCGAUAGCGAACAAGUACCGUGAGGGAAAGAUGAAAAGAACUUUGAAAAGAGAGUUAAACAGUACGUGAAACUGUCAAAAGGGAAGCGUUUGACACCAGUGUUGUUUUUCUCAAAAAUCAAUUACAAAUGGCAGUGAUUUUGUGUUGUAUUGACCUUAUCAGCUUUCUGCACUCUUUUCUUGAGUCUUUUCUUAAUGCACUUUUCGUUUAACAAGUCAACAUCAAUUUCUUUUGUUGUAAAAGGAGUCAUUCGGAAGGUGGCUUUCUUUUCGGAGAAAGUGUUUAUAGCCCUAUGACUUCUGCAAUCGGAGAGAUUGAGGUCUGCAGCGUAGAUCCUUCGGGGUUAGAUACACUUUGUGCUAAGUUAUAGCCUUUCAUAGACAACUUGUUGACUAUGAUUAAGUCAUGUCGCUUACUCGCUUAUGCUAUUUUACCUACGCUUAGGAUGUUGAAGAUGUAGCACAUCAU
rnacentral:rRNA from 1 species